rnacentral:miRNA from 1 species
AUUGUCGCCUUUUUGAGUAGA